rnacentral:rRNA from 1 species
GACGAACCGUGCGAACGUUGUUCGGAAUCACUGGGCUUAAAGGGCGCGUAGGCGGGUUCGCAAGUCUGUGGUGAAAGCCUCCAGCUUAACUGGAGAAGUGCCGUGGAUACUGCGAAUCUUGAGGAGGGUAGGGGCAUCUGGAACGGUCGGUGGAGCGGUGAAAUGCGUUGAUAUCGACCGGAACUCCGGUGGCGAAGGCGGCAUCCUGGACCGGUAUUGACGCUGAGGCGCGAAAGCCAGGGGAGCAAACGGG